rnacentral:tRNA from 1 species
AAUAAGAUAAGCUAAAAAAGCUAGUGGGUUCAUACCCCAAAAAUGAUAUUAUCUCUUAUUA